UCUGCUUCAUGAGGAACCUAAAAUAGUUUCCAACAGCCUGAGAUUCCUUAAAGAAAACAGAGAAGGUGCCAGACUCCCUUUUGGGAAGAAAUCUCUGUUUUUCCUUAUGGAACCCCAAGAGUGUAAACAGAGAAGUUCAUCUCAGAUCUUAAACUGCUUGCUUUUGUAUUGUGUUAACCUGAUUUUUUUUGACUAAAAUAGUUAUUACAACAGAGGUUACUCUUGGGUGUUUAAAUCAAGGAAGGGUUUGGUUUAGACACUUAGAGAAAUGUCUUUGUUAAAAAAAAAGUGCACUGUAAAAGCAUCACAUGGUCUAGCCUCAUAAUAAUUGUCAGGCCUCUGAGCCCAAGCUAAGCCAUCAUAUCCCCUGUGACUUGCACGUAUACAUCCAGAUGGCCUGAAGCACUUGAAGAUCCACAAAAGAAGCGAAAAUAGCCUUAACUGAUGGCAUUCCACCAUUGUGAUUUGUUUCUGCCCUACCCUAACUGAUCAAUGUACUUUGUAAUCUCCCCCACGCUUAAGAAGAUUCUUUGUAAUCUCCCCCACCCUUAAGAAGGUUCUUUGUAAUUCUCCCUAUCCUUGAGAAUGUACUUUGUGAGAUCCACUCCCUGCCCGCAAAACAUUGCUCCUAACUCCACUGCCUAUCCCAAAGCCUGUAAGAACUAAUGAUAAUCCCACCACCCUUCGCUGACUCUCUUUUUGGACUCAGCCCGCCUGCACCCAGGUGAAAUAAACAGCCUUGCUGCUCACACGAAGCCUGUUUGGUGGUCUCUUCACGUGGACGUGACAGACAUUUGGUGCCGAAGACCGGGAUCAGAGGGACUUCUUCGGGAGACCAGUCCCCUGUCCUCACCCUCACUCCAUGAAGAGAUCCACCUACAACCCGGGUCCUCAGACCAACCAGCCCAAGGAACAUCUCACCAAUUUCAAAUCGAUAGAGACAAAGGAGGCACAUUUCAUCCAUGGACCCAAAACUCCGGUGCCAGUCAUGGACUCAGGAAGACAGCCUUCCCUUGGUGUUUAAUCACUGUGGGGACGCCUGCCUGAUUAUUCACCCACACUCCAUUGGUGUCUGAUCACUGCAGGGACACCUGCCUUGGUCAUUCACCCACAUUCCCUUGGUGGCAAGUUAAUUGUGGGAAUGCCUGCUUUGGCUGCUCACCCACAUGCAGCCCAGGGCUGCUCCCCACCCUCCUUCUCCAUGUCUCUACCUUUCUCUUUAAACUCACCUCCUUCACUAUGGGCAACCUUCCACCCUCCAUUCCCCCUUCUUCUCCCUUAGCCUGUGUUCUCAAGAACUUAAAACCUCUUCAACUCACACCUGACCUAAAACUUAAUGCCUUAUUUUCUUCUGCAAUACUGCUUGGCCGCAAUACAAACUCAACAGUAGUUCCAAGUGGCCAGAGAAUGGCACUUUUGAUAUGUCUAUCCUACAAGAUCUAGAUAAUUUUUGUUGAAAAAUAGGCAAAUGGUCUGAGGUGCCUGACGUCCAGGCAAUCUUCUACACAUUGGUCCCUCCCUAGUCUCUGCUCCCAAUGUGACUCAUCCCAAAUCCUUCUUCUUUCUCUCCUGUCUGUUCCUUCAGUCUCCACCCCAAGCUCUGAGUUCUUUGAAUCCUUCUUUUCUACAGAUCCAUCUGACCUCUCCCCUCCUCCCCACGCUGCUCCUCGCCAGGCUGAGCCAGGUCCCAGUUCUUCCUCAGCCGCUGCUCCCCCACCCUAUAAUCCUUUUAUCACUUCCUCUCCUCACACCCAGUCUGGUUUACAGUUUCCUUCUGUGACUAGCUCUCCCCCACCUGCCCAACAAUUUCCUCUUAGAGAAGUGGCUGGAGCUGAAGGCAUAGUCUGGGUACAUGUGCCUUUUUCUCUAUCAGACUUUUCCCAAAUCAGCCAGUGUUUAGGCUCUUUCUCAUCAGACCCUACUAAAUAUAUACAGGAAUUCUGAUAUCUAACUGUCCUACAAUUUAACCUGGAGUGACUUAAAUGUCAUCCUAACUUCUACCUUCUCCCCAGAUGAAUGGGAAAGAGUUUUUUCUCUAGCCCAAUCUCACACUGAUAACCGCCGACUUCAUGAGCCAGACCUCCAUGAAGGCAUUAGAGCAGUUUCCUGAGAAGAUCCCCAUUGGAACUAUCAGGCAGAUUCCCCAGGUAUAGCUAGGUGAGAUUACAUGAUUUCCUGCUUAGUUGAAGGGCUUUAAAAGGGAGCUUACAAAGCUUUUAAUUAUGACAAACUUAAAAAACUACCCAAGGUAAAGAUGAAAACCCAGCCCAUUUCAUGGCCCACUUAGCAGCAACCUUUAGAUGCUUUACCGCCCUAGACCCAGAGGGGCUGGAAGGCUGUCUUAUUCUCAAUAUGCAUUUUAUUACCCAGUCCACUCCCGACAUUAGAAAAACCUCCAAAAAUUAUAUUCCAGCCCUCAAACCCCACAACAGGACCUAAUUAACCUCACUUUCAAGGUGUACAAUAAUAAAGAGUUGCAGUUACUUGCCUCUGCUGUGAGAGAAACCCCAGCCAUAUCUCCAGCACACAAGAACUUCAAAAUGCCUAAGCCACAGCAGUCAGCCAUUCCUUCAGGACUUCCUCCCCCAGGAUCUCGCUUCAAGUGCCGGAAAUCUGGCCACUAGGCCAAGGAAUGCCCACAGCCCGGGAUUCCUCCCAAGCCAUGUCCCAUCUCUGCGGGACCCCACUGGAAAUUGGACUGUCUGACUGGCCCAAGGCUCUGACUGACUCCUUCCCAGAUCUUCUCGGCUUAGCGGCUGAAGACUGACGUUGCCCGAUCACCUCGGAAGCCUCCUGGACCUUCACAGAUGCUUUGGGUAACUCUUACAGUGGAAGGUAAGUCCGUCCCUUUCUUAAUCAAUACGGAGGCUACCCACUUCACAUUACCUUCUUUUCAGGGGCCUGUUUCCCUUGAUUCCAUAACCAUUGUGGGUAUUGAUGGCCAGGCUGCUAAACCUCUUAAAACUCCCCAACUCUGGUGCCAACUUGGACAACAUUCUUUAAUGCACUCCUUUUUAGUUAUCCCCACCUUCCCAGCUCCCUUAUUAUGUCGAGACAUUUUAACUAAAUUAUCUGCUUCCCUGACUAUUCCUGGGCUACAGCCACACCUCUUUGCUGCCUUUUCCCACAGUUCAAAGCCUCCUUCACAUCCUCUCUUUGUAUCUCCCCACCUUAAUCCACAAGUAUAGGACACCUCUACUCCCUCGUUGGCGAUGAAUGAUGUACCCCUUCCCAACCCAUUAAAACCCAAUCACCCUUACCCCACUCAACACCAGUAUCCCAUCCCAUAGCAGGCUUUCAAAGCAUUAAAGCCUGUUAUCACUCGCCUGUUACAGUAUGGCCUUUUAAAGCCUGUAAGCUCUCCUUAAAAUUCCCCCAUUUUACCUGUCCAAAAACCGAACAAGUCUUACAGGUUAGUUCAGGAUCUGUGCCUUAUCAAGCAAAUUGUCUUGCCUACCCACCCCGUGGUGCCAAACCCAUAGACUCUCCUAUUCUCAAUACCUCCCUCCACAACCCAUUCUGUUCUAGAUAAACCUAGCUGACCCCAUAAAUCCUAAAUCCUUUCCCCACUCCCCUUUCCACUUCUUAAAAAACAGCCCUAAAACUGCUCCCACACUAGCUCUCCCUAACUCAUCCCAGCCUUUUUCAUUACACACAGCCAAAGUGCAGGGCUGUGCGGUCAAAAUUCUUACACAAGGACUGGGACCAUGCCCUGUGGCCUUUUUAUCCAAACAACUUGACCUUAACUGUUUUAGCCUAGCCCUCAUGUCUGUGUGCGGCAGCUGCCGCUGCCUUAAUACUUUUAGAGGCCCUCAAAAUCACCAACUAUUCUCAACUCACUCUCUACAGUUCUCAUAACUUCCAAAAUCUAUUUUCUUCCUCAUACCUGAUGCAUAUACUUUCUGCCCCCUUCCACUACCUCUCAGCAAGUCAAACUCAUUGCCUUAACUCAAGCCCUCCCCCUUGCAAAGGGACUACGUGUCAAUAUUUAUACUGACUCUAAAUAUGCCUUCCAUAUCCUGCACCACCAUGCUGUUACAUGGGCUGAAAGAGGUUUCCUCACUAUGCAAGGGUCCUCCAUCAUUAAUGCCUCUUUAAUAAAAACUCUUCUCAAGGCCACUUUACUUCCAAAGGAAGCUGGAGUCAUUCACUGCAAGGACCAUCAAAAGGCGUCAGAUCCCAUCACUCAGGGCAACACUUAUGCUGAUAAGGUAGCUUAAAAAGCAGCUAGCGUCCCAACUUCUGUCCCUCAUGGCCAGUUUUUCUCCUUCUCAUUGGUCACUCCCACCUACUCCCCCACUGAAACUUCCACCUAUCAAUCUCUUCCCACACAAGGCAAAUGGUUCUUAGACCAAGGAAAAUAUCUCCUUCCAGCCUCACAGGCCCAUUGUAUUCUGUCAUCAUUUCAUAGCCUCUUCCAUGUAGGUUACAAACUGCUAGCCCACCUCUUAGAACCUCUCAUUUCCUUUCCAUUGUGAAAAUCUAUCCUCAAGGAAAUCACUUCUCAGUGUUCUAUCUGCUAUUCUACUCCUCCUCAGGGAUUGUUCAGGCCCCCUCCCUUCUCUACACAUCAAGCUCGGGGAUUUGCCCCUGCCAAGGACUGGCAAAUUUACUCACAUGCCCCAAGUCAGAAAACUAAAAUACUUCUUGGUCUAGGUAGACACUUUCACUGGAUUGGUAGAGGCCUUUCCCACAGGGUCUGAGAAGGCCACCAUGGUCAUUUCUUCCCUUCUGUCAGACAAUUCCUCGGUUUGGCCUUCCCACCUCUAUAUAGGCUGAUAAUGGACCAGCCUUUAGUAGUCAAAUCACCCAAGCAGUUUCUCAGGCUCUUCGUAUUCAGUGAAACCUUCAUACCCCUUACCAUCCUCAAUCUUCAGGAAAGGUACAACAGACUAAUGGUCUUUUAAAAACACACCUCACCAAGCUCAGCCUCCAACUUAAAAAGGAGGACUCUCUGAAGGAUAGAGCCCCAAAACUCACCAACCAAGCAAGUAAUUACACUGAACCCCCUUGAGCACUCUCUAAUUGGAUGUCCAGGGUCCUCCCAAUUCUUAGUCAUUUAAUACCUGUUUUUCUCCUUCUCUUAAUUCGGACCUUGUGUCUUCCAUUUAGUUUCUCAAUUCAUACAAAACCAUAUCCAGGCCAUCACCAGUCAUUCCAUGUGACAAAUGCUAUUUUUAACAACCCCACAAUAUCACCCCUUACCACAAAAUCUUCCUUUAGCUUAAUCUCUCCUACUCUAGGUUCCCAUGCCACCCCUAAUCCUGCUCAAACCAGCCCUGAGAAACAUCACCCAUUAUCUCUCCAUACCAGUCCCCCCAAAUUUUUGCUGCCUCAACACUUCAACACUAUUUUAUAUUAUUUUUCUUUUUUUUUUUUUUUUUUUUUUUGAGACGGAGUCUUUCUCUGUCCCCCAGGCUGGAGUGCGGUGGCGCGAUCUCGGCUCACCGCAACCUCCACCUCCUGGGUUCACGCCAUUCUCCUGCCUCAGCCUCCCGAGUAGCUGGGACCACAGGCGCCCGCCAGCACGCCCGGCUAAUUUUUUUGUAUUUUUUAGUAGAGACGGGGUUUCACCGUGUUAGCCAGGAUGGUCUCGAUCUCCUGACCUCGUGAUCCACCCGCCUCGGCCUCCCAAAGU